rnacentral:sRNA from 2 species
CCGACGAUUUCGCCAGACCGGGCGGCAGGAACGGGGGAACCAUCUCCGAGCGUCGAAGGGAUUCGAUGCUCUCGGGGUGAAGCCAUGAGCGACGGACGCACCAGGGUCUUUCGGUGCGACGCACGUCCCCAGGAAUCCCUGGCAUGGCCGGGCAGUUCCCAGCCCGAAUCCGACAGCUCACCUCGCAGGCGUGGGGAAGGACCA